UAUUUGUAAAUAGAAGGCUACCAUGCAGUCGAGGGGAACGGCAAAGAGUGCUUGCACACUUUGGACGUCGACCGGCGCACGGGUGAGUAACGCGUAUCCAACCUGCCCUUUACUUGGGGAUAACCCGUUGAAAGACGGACUAAUACCCAAUGAUAUUCAUUGAUGACAUCUGAUUUGAAUUAAAGAUUUAUCGGUAUAGGAUGGGGAUGCGUCUGAUUAGCUUGUUGGUGAGGUAACGGCUCACCAAGGCCACGAUCAGUAGGGGUUCUGAGAGGAAGGUCCCCCACAUUGGAACUGAGACACGGUCCAAACUCCUACGGGAGGCAGCAGUGAGGAAUAUUGGUCAAUGGACGAGAGUCUGAACCAGCCAAGUAGCGUGCAGGAUGACGGCCCUAUGGGUUGUAAACUGCUUUUGUUUGGGAAUAAUCGACAUUACGUGUAAUGUUUUGCAUGUACCAUUCGAAUAAGGACCGGCUAAUUCCGUGCCAGCAGCCGCGGUAAUAAAUA
rnacentral:rRNA from 1 species